GCCCCUCUGGCAGAUAAACCUUCUAAAGCCGAGGGGGGCUGCUGCAGGUGUGGGGUGCAGAGGCCUGGCCUCGAGGAAGUCUGGCUGAGAGAGAGAGGCCGUUGGGUGGCCCUGCCAGGGCUGAGGGCCCAGGGCCCGCCACCACGCAGCCAGCGGGACACAGAGGAAGCACCCGCAGCCACGGGUGCUGCUGCUGUCCUGUCUCCGCCCCUCGCAGGGACAGCAGAAAGGGAAGGGCGGGGGCUUCCGCAGAAAGUUCACCGAGGGUACCCACUGAUGCCCGCCACCCCCGGGGCCCCCCGCCGGCGUGGCCUGCAAGCCGUGCGGAGGAAGAGAAGGCACCUGUCCUCAUGGGGGCCGGGAAGAGCCUGGAGGAGCCAUGAUGCCAUUGAUGGCGCCUGAGCCUCCCCCAGGGAGGACAGGGAUAGGCCAAAGAUGGGCUUUGCCUGCCUCUGGGCUCUUGGAACAGGGCUCCCUCUGCCCGGAAGGCGGUUCCCUCAAGUUCUCACCGACUCACUCCUCCAUUCCAGCCUCAGCCCCCACCGGCACGACUCGCGGGUCCCUGUGACGAUCCCACGUGAUGCUGAUCAUGACCGUCAGUAAAUAACUCGGACGUGCCA